rnacentral:rRNA from 1 species
GACGAACGCUGGCGGCGUGCUUAACACAUGCAAGUCGAACGGGAAGGCCUCUUUCGGGGGGUACUCGAGUGGCGAACGGGUGAGUAACACGUGAGUAACCUGCCCUUGACUUUGGGAUAACUUCAGGAAACUGGGGCUAAUACCGGAUAGGAGCUCCUGCUGCAUGGUGGGGGUUGGAAAGUUUCGGCGGUUGGGGAUGGACUCGCGGCUUAUCAGCUUGUUUGUGGGGUAGUGGCUUGCCAAGGCUUUGACGGGUAGCCGGCCUGAGAGGGUGACCGGCGACAUUGGGACUGAGAUACGGCCCAGACGCCUACGGGAGGCAGCAGUGGGGAAUAUUGCACAACAGGUGGAAGCCAGAUGCAGCAACGCCGUGUGCGGGAUGACGGCCUUCGGGUUGUAAACCGCUUUCGCUCAUGACGAAGCUUUGUGUGACGGUAGUGGGUAAAGAAGCACCGGCUAACUACGUG